GAAUUGAGUGCUUUGUGACAUGCUACACUGUUAGGCUAUUUUCAAGCUUUGCCAACAGCUGUCGGCUGUCUGCUUAUUUAGCAAGAAUAGGAAAUGCAGCAGGUUCAAGGCAGGGGGAGAAGAAUUCAUUUGGAUGCACAUAUUACUUUGCUGCCAGAGUGUACAAUAUACUAUGAAGAGGAGGUCGUUGUCAUCGAAGGACUUAGAGAUGGAUCUUUUCCCAGGCUAUACUAAAUACUUCAGGUUCUUGCACAGAAAACAUUAUAUUUGCUUCUGAAGAAGUAUGUGGAUUCCUUGUGAGAAUAAGUCCCAGAAUUAAAAUGCACCAGGGAGAAGGAUAAUGGGAACAACCAGGACAAGUCAGAGCCCAGGAAGAGGUAUGCAAGCUGCACCACACAGCUUUGCCCUCCUAGAUAUUCUGCUGAUUUCAGCACAGCACUGGAGUUUUUUUCACAGCAGAAAAAAAAAUGCAGUUUUAUUAUGAGGGUUGUAAACAGGUGAAUAACAGUAUUUUUAAGUAUGCAUAUUGAAAAAUAACAAAACCCUGUACUGCUCUGUGCAUUAUAAUGUGCAACCGACAAGUGAAGUAAAUCAUGCAGAUACAAAACUUU